CUCGGCAUCGAGGAUAGAUUAAAAGGUGGCCUCUACAUUUAAGCUAUCACUGAAGGAGGGGAUUGCGUCUGAUUAGCUAGUUGGAGGGGGUAACCGCCCCCCCAAGGCGAUGAUCAGUAGCCGGUCUGAGAGGAUGAACAGCCACAUUGGGACUGAGACACGGCCCAGACUCCUACGGGAGGCAGCAGUGGGGAAUCUUCCGCAAUGGACGAAAGUCUGACGGAGCAACGCCGCGUGAGUGAUGACCGGCUUCGGGUUGUAAAGCUCUGUUAAUCGGGACGAAAGGCCUUCUUGCGAAUAGUGAGAAGGAUAGACG
rnacentral:rRNA from 1 species